rnacentral:rRNA from 1 species
GGGCCUUGUACACACCGCCCGUCACACCAUGGGAGUGGGUUGCAAAAGAAGUAGGUAGCUUAACCUCCGGGAGGGCGCUUACCACUUUGUGAUUCAUGACUGGGGUGAAGUCGUAACAAGGUAACCGUAGGGGAACCUGCGGUUGGAUCACCUCCUUA